CGGCCGCGGCGCCCGUGACUGUUGCCUACGUCCAGGCGUACAAGCCUUAGUUGGUGGUUACAUUGGUGGACUUGUACCCAAAUUAAAGUCUGAUCCCAAGAGUCAACCUGAAGAAGAAGAAGAGCCUUCUAAAACUGAUGAGCCUAUCUGCAAAGACAAAAAAGCAGAGGAGAAAAAGCGUGUGUUACUUCAGCGAGAAAAGAUUAUUGCAAGAGUGAGUAUUGAUAACAGAACUCGAGCCUUAGUUCAGGCCUUAAGAAGAACAACCGACCCAAAGCUCUGUAUUACUAGGGUUGAAGAACUGACUUUUCAUCUUCUAGAAUUUCCUGAAGGAAAAGGAGUGGCUGUCAAGGAAAAAAUUAUCCCAUAUUUAUUACGGCUGAGACAAAUUAAAGAUGAAACUCUUCAGGCUGCAGUUAGAGAAAUUUUGGAAUAACCCUUCAGCCUUGGCCCUGCACGAAUGUAAAUGUAUCUGGCCAGAUACCCCACUAGAGUGUAUAGUAUCCCUGGGCACAGGACGAUAUGAGAGUGAUGUGAGGAAUACCACAACAUACACGAGCCUGAAGACCAAGCUCUCCAAUGUCAUCAGCAGUGCUACAGAUACAGAGGAAGUCCACAUAAUGCUUGAUGGUCUAUUACCUGCUGACACGUAUUUUAGGUUUAAUCCUGUGAUCUGUGAAAACAUACCCCUAGAUGAAAGCCGCAAUGAGAAGCUGGACCAGCUUCAGCUGGAAGGGAUGAAGUAUCUAGAAAGAAAUGAUGAAAAGAUGAAAAAA
rnacentral:lncRNA from 1 species